GACAGAGGGGGCAAGCGUUGUCCGGAGUUACUGGGCGUAAAGGGCGCGGAGGCGGUCUGCGGCGUCGGCGCUGAAAGCGCCCCGCUUAACGGGGCGAGGCGUGCCGAUACGCGCAGACUUGAGGCGAGCAGAGGGUGGUGGAAUUCCGGGUGGAGCGGUGAAAUGCGUAGAGAUCCGGAGGAACGCCAGUGGGGAAGCCGGCCACCUGGGCUCGUCCUGACGCUGCGGCCCGAAAGCUGGGGGAGCGAAAGGG
rnacentral:rRNA from 1 species